UUGAAUGAUUGUACCUUUCAAGCAUUUUUGUUCUUUUUUUAACAAAAGCUCGGAUAUUUUUUUCAAUAUUUGAAAACUCUUUUAUUGGUACUGUACCUGUAUUAUAAAAACGAAUCUUAAAUGUACCGGUACUUAUUUUUGAAUUUUUACAUGUCAAGAUGGAUGUACGCGCAUAAUUUUAGGCAAGUACGGUACAUCAUAGUUGAGCUAAUUUACAGCAGUUUGUAAUCCUUAUGAAUCUAAUUGAUUAGGUAUAUAAAUUAGGGUCGUAUUCCAAAUUCUUUUUAGGAGUAGAAAAAAUAUAUAAUAUUGUCUGAAGUGUGUGUCUGAAUAUUCCGUCCAUUGUUUUAUUUGACGAUGUUAUAAAAAAUGUCAUAUUUUAUAUUCCAUUUUAUAAAAGAUUGAGAUGAUUUUGAUCUUCUUUUCGAAUUUAAAAGUGUAGUAUAAGUCAAAUGGUUGUUAUUACAGUAUUGCUUAUUACAAUUAUCUAUCAAAAACUGUUUAACAUAAGUUAGUGCUAGUUUUUGUAAAAUUUCUCUGUCUUAGAGCAGUGCAUUUACUAGUUUUUAUUGUACAUCAAUUAUAAUUCACUAUUGUGCAUUAAUCUAUAGCGCACCAGGAUUCUAUUGCUGAUUUCAGCUUACAUUCCAGAAAAAACGUUGUACAAAGUAGGUAUUGGAUGAAAACUAAGUCAUUUAGUCCCGGUGUUAAAAUUAAAAUCUGGUACACUGAUAGCCUUCAGUAAUAAAAAAUAAAUUACAAAUUCCAUUUCAGAUUGAGCAAUGGAAUUUUAACAACAUUAUAAUUAUUCUGCAAGGGAGAAAUAUAAUACAUUUUCAAUAAUUAUUCAAUCGAACUGAUUGGACAACAUAAAAUUGUCAUUGUUUGCUCAAUUAAAUUAUAUAUAAAUAUAUUAUUGUCGUUUAUGGACUUGAUGGUUGAAUUCCUUUAGCAGGCAGCUCAAGAAAAACUCUUUUUCUGGCUGAAUAGAAUAAUUAUUAGAAUCUCAUUCUUUUGAAGAAUAGUUUUAUUUUAAUUACCUACAGAUAUUAUAACUCUUACAAAUGGGCAGUACCUACUCUUUAUAAAAAUAUAGUAUUUUAAUAGAUGAUCGGAAUAAUUCGAAUUGUUCAUUACCACACAAUAUACUAUUAACUAUGAUUUCGAAUUAUUAUAGAUGAGUUUCUACGGGUAGCAUAGUAUUCUUAUUUGAAAACUUGCCCUUAUACUUUUUCAUGUUAAUCAGAUUCACCAAUCUUUUUUUGCUCUCAUACUUAACAUUAAAAUUUCCUACAUAUAUUAUCUCUAUUUAAAGUCUGUACUUAAUUUAUAAGAAUUCAACUUAACUGUACUUACUCAUUGUAGACUCGUCCUUUGCUGUUUUCUUCUCAAAUAAUCUCAUUUUUAUAGGCUAACUGGUAUGUAGUGUAGGCCUACUCGUAUGAAGAAAAUGCCUAUUCAGAUAUUAAUAAAUUCUUUAGAAUCUCCCAAUGUAUAUGACAAUCAUUUUUUAAUAUAAUAUUUCCACUUCAUAUUCACAUUUUAUAAACGUAGAGGUUUGAUGUUCAAACUUUAUGUAGGUACAUAUUUAUAAAAGCUUUUUAUAAGUUUGGGCACUUUUACUCUAAAUGAUGUUACAUAAAUUAGAUUAUAGUUAUCAGAGUUGAUAGGAAACCCGUCCGGUAUGUUUAGUAAUUAAUGUUAAUGAUUUUCUAUUAUUUUGACAACAUGACUUUUGUAUCAUGAAAGUCAAAUAGCACUUUUUAGAUAAUUUUAUCAUAUCGUAUCAAAGUAUGCAUUUACCGAUUCAUAGGUACUACAAAUGAUAAUCUUCUGAAAUACCUCUUCAGUAUUUCAUAUUUAUUUGGUUGUUCCUUCCAAAUAAAGUCAGGCAUCAAUAGUAUUCCAAGCUAGUUUUCUUGACAGGCUAAUCAAGAAAGUAGUCUUAUUAUUUUCAGAAGGAUUGAAAAAUGUUGAAGGGUGCUCACUGUCAUGCAACUUGGUUUAAAAGAGUUAGUUUUAUACGUAACAAAUAGCUUUAGAAAUUUUUUAUUGUCGAUUAUUGGAAACUUUUAUUGUAAAAUUGAGCACAAAUUUAUGAUUUGUAUAUCACAUUAUAGCUGAAAAUUUUUUGUGUAUUGAUCAUGAUAAGAUAUGCUGGUAAAUUGUACUUGAUGAUAACUUUAACUUUAACUUUAUUGUAUAAAAUACUAUAAUCAUAAUACAAUUAUGACAUUGGAGGAAAAACUAGGCUGAGCCUGAACUAUUUCUCUCCAAAAAUUUUGAUAAAAUGUUAAUGUUGAAAUAUCGUUCUUGUAUAUAAGGAGACCAACUGCUAUUUUUGUAUUAAUAGUAAGUAAGAAGACCUUGAAACUGUGAUCGUUAAAUGGAUAAUUUGUUGUAUUUUGCUCUUCUAUUAUAGUUUAUACGCUGAACGCAAUAUGUAUUUGAUACUUUUUGUAUUUGGAGAAAAAUGUAAUUUUCUUAUAUUGUU
rnacentral:lncRNA from 1 species